GAUUAACGCUGGCGGCGUGCAUAACACAUGCAAGUCGAACGAAUUGGCGGACGGGUGAGUACCGCGUGAGUAACCUGCCUUAGAGAAGGGGAUAGCCUUUGGAAACGAAGAAUAAUACCCUAUACUCUAAGAUGGACUUGCGUCUGAUUAGUUAGUUGGUGAGGUAACGGCCCACCAAGACAGCGCUCAGGAGCUGGCAUGAGAGAGUGUAAGGACACAUCUGGACUGCGACACGGACCAGACCCUACGGGAGGCAGCAGUGGGGAAUUUUGCACAAUGGGGGAAACCCUGAUGCAGCGACGCCGCGUGAUUUAGAUGUCCUUCGUGUUGUAAAAAUCUUUUUUAUGGGAAGCAGUACCAUAGGAAUAAGGACCGGCUAAUUACGUGCCAGCAGCCGCGGUAAUAC
rnacentral:rRNA from 1 species